rnacentral:rRNA from 1 species
AACAACAGUUCCCGCAUGAGAAUUGUUUAAUAGAUUUAUCGCUAUCGGAUUGGCUCGCGUCCCAUUAGGCAGUUGGCGGGGUAACGGCCCACCAAACCGACGAUGGGUAGGGGUUCUGAGAGGAAGGUCCCCCACAUUGGAACUGAGACACGGUCCAGACUCCUACGGGAGGCAGCAGUGAGGAAUAUUGGACAAUGGCCGAGAGGCUGAUCCAGCCAUGCCGCGUGCGGGAAGACGGCCCUAUGGGUUGUAAACCGCUUUUGUUGGAGAGCAAUAAGAGUCACGUGUGACUUGAUGAGAGUAUCCAGCGAAUAAGCAUCGGCUAACUCCGUGCCAGCAGCCGCGGUAAUACGGAGGAUGCAAGCGUUAUCCGGAUUUAUUGGGUUUAAAGGGUGCGUAGGCGGAUGAUUAAGCGUGAGGUGAAAUGCCACAGCUCAACUGUGGAACUGCCUCGCGAACUGGUUGUCUGGAAUGCCCCUGCCGUGGGAGGAAUGUGUGGUGUAGCGGUGAAAUGCAUAGAGAUCACACAGAACACCGAUUGCGAAGGCAUCUCACGAAGGGGUGAUUGACGCUGAGGCACGAAAGCGUGGGGAUCAAACAGGAUUAGAUACCCUGGUAGUCCACGCAGUAAACGAUGAUAACUAACCGCUGGGCAUUCGUGUUCAGUGGCCAAGCGAAAGCGAUAAGUUAUCCACCUGGG